rnacentral:lncRNA from 1 species
CUGCUCCGGAGGUCCACCGGGCGGUGGAACCCUGGGCAAUAGUUGGCAGCCAGGCCAGCACAGCUCCUCUAGGCAGCUGGGGCAGCAGGUUCCAGCGCCCUGGGACAUUUCCUUCCCACCUCGACUACCUGGAGCUGGACCCCUAGCAGAGCUUGCUAAGAGGUUAGGUCAAGCAGAAGGACUUUGCGAUUGCAGAGAAAUAGCUGAGGCCAAGCAUCUUUCUGAGGUAGGGGGAAGCCUAGAAGCGAGACUUCAGGUCCCCGCCCCCAGCUCCGCCGGGGAGCAGUGCAUCCCGGAGCCGGCGCGGGGCCCGGAGGGGGUGUGGCGGGCCAGGGGUAGUGCUGGGCCCCGGCCCGUAGGCUGAACCUCAUCGGUGACUUUCCCUUCGGGCAGGAGCACUGGCUGCGGAGGGCGGGAGAUGGGGGAGGCCUAACCCCCUAGUGUGCAGCCGGGGGAGGAACCGAUCGCGGAGGGAGGGCAGAGCAGCCGAGCAGCGGCGCAGCAGCGAGUGGCGCGCGCCCGCCGGGGUGAUCGUCAGCCCCGAGAGGGGCUGGGAUUGUUGUACUCUGUCACCAGGGCGGCCGGGCUCCCUGCAGCCCUGCAGACCGCGCCCGAGCGCCGGCGACAGGGCGGGCGGACAGCUGCUCACCCUCGGGUCCCUCCGAGCCCGGCGCAGCGAGCCGGGAGGAGGCGGUAGCUCGCGUCCCGGAACCUGAACGAGGCCGAGAGAAGGUAAAGAGAGAGAGAUAGAGAGAGAUGAGAGGAGAGAGGAGAGAGAGAGAGAGAGAGAGAGAAGUGCAAGGCGCACAAAUUGCAGACAAAUCGUAAGCAAGUUUGUGCUUGCACGCUGAGGCGCUGCGUACUGGGUGGGAGGGAGAGAGUGGCGGUGGUGGUGUGCGUACGUGUGUGACACUCAUGGAUAAGGAGAUAAGGAGGUUGGGGAGCCUCUGCAUCUCGUACGUAGAUAUCCCUAUUAAUAUCCCCCUCUGUGAGUUGUCAUUUCCGCUUGUGGCACGUCCCCUGGGCUCCAAGGAUACCGAAGCAAAAGGCAGCCACCCUCGUAUUGUGAUGGUCGGUACUGUUGCUACUAUCUGAUAGGAGAUGUAGGGCGUUGGACAAUUUCUAGGAGCCUCCCUUCCUCCACCCCUAGACUAUUUUAGGAAGGCUGGGGGAGGGAAAAUGGGUAGCGGAGCCCAGGGCUUGAAGACUGCGCGGAGGCCAGGGCGACUCCCCCGGCGCAGUCAUGGUGCAGUUGCUUCCAGGCAGAGCCUACACUAGAGGGCAAGAUAACUUUCAUCUCCUCAGAUAGACACGUUUCAGACAGAUUUUGCCCUGCUGCCGGAGGAGUUCUGGGAAAUGGUGGUUCACAGCGGGGCAGGUGCAUCGCAAAGGGCAGAAUUUAGUGCAAAAUGCAGCAUCCAUCAGACCCAGAAAGGAAAGCCCCUGGGGAAAGGAGAUUGGCUGUGCUGCUUGGGAUAACAGUGUUUGAUGCUGGAAGUUCAGGCCUCUUCCAUUAAGAGUCAGGUUCAAAUAAGAAAUAUCAGCUCUGAAACCUCAGCAGCCUGUGAUGUUCACUUCUGAGCUUUUCAGUUUGGAGUGAAAAACUUACAUGUAUCGGAUUUUUUUUUUUUGUCAAGGUUAAGAAAGCCCCAAAUGAAUUAUUUUUCUGUUCUUUAAUGCAAAUUUAUUCGUCUUGAUCUAAGAACUACUUUCCUAAAGGCAGGAUUUGUGUACAAAAGCCAGUCCUAUGCAAGAGAAUGCCUACUAAUUUUAAAUCAAGCAAAGGUUAUUAAUAUGACCUACAUCUGCAUAAAAUGCUGAUUUAAUUGUGAGUCAUGAGGAUUGUUCUUUGUGAGAGGCUUUUUAUUCCCCAUGAUGAAACAAAUUAAUAAUAUGGAUAAAAAAAGUUUUGGUUAAAUGCGUAACUAAUUUUCUUGUGUUUUUCAGUCUGUUUAUUACUUUGUAGCAGAUUUAGAACAAAAUGUACCGGAUCACUACUAACUUAAUGUUUCAUGUUGAAGAUAAAAAAAAUAAAAACAUGCUCAGACAGACCAUUAUCAUAAUAUCGCUAGCCUUUGAAAAAUAUUCAAUCAACUAUUACAUCAUAGCCUUACUUUUAUUUUUCUUAACUAAUGAUUUUCCACAAACUGAUUUGCUUCUGUCCUUAUUGUCCCCAAGUAAGCAUUCUUUUCACUUGAUUCCUUGCUACCAGGGAGCAGGGACUGGGAAAAACUACUUUACCAUUUGAAAAAUGUCUAGAAUUGCUGGGUGCUUCACUAUGUCCUACUCUCUGAUAAUUAUGCAGCCUGCAGCUUCUGGCCACUGUCAGGAGGUGUGACUAUAACAGGAAGUAAGAGCAAGGUGGGUGGCAUUUUUGCAGUUCUAGCUACUGCAGCCACACCCUGUAGCCUGAAUGUGACUGGUGAGCAGCGCCCAAGACGCCUCUGUGGGGCAGAUGUCUCUUAACUGUGUCCUUCCUUGAGGUCUAAUCUAAGGAGAACUAAUGUUGGGCAAGAAGUGAAAUACAUAUUGAGCAAGGUAUGGAAAGAAGGCGGCAGUUAUCUUUGGGUGCAUUUUAUACCCCCAGCUUACAAAAUCAUUUGCAUCAUAACCCUGAAUGUUUUUCAUGCUGUUUUCUUCUAUAAUUUGUCUUGUGCUUACUUGUUGGUAUUCGUGUGACUCUAGGAAAAGGACCAUUUCUUAUCAUUGUCCUGAAUAAUUCUUAAUAGUGAAUAACAGAAUUAUUUACUAAUAACCUGAGUACAUAUAUUAGUAAAUAUAUUUAUAUUAAGCCAAUGAUGUCCCUCUUCUUUCCUACUUCAUAGCCAUCUUAAUGUUUAUUAAGUAAUGCCAUUACUAAGGGCAGAACAGACAAAAAAUAAUUACAUUUAAAAUUAGAGAAUUAUGUGAAUUUAAGCCAGUAAAAGUCUUAGAGCGGGUGGUUGAAAGAACUUUUACAUUUUUAAUUUAGUAGUGAAUUUCAAUAUUAUUGCUUUCAUGUUCAUAUUUAGAUAUAUAACUAAGCAAUAUUUACAUAUCAUACUGCUGUGAAUCUUUUUAUGCAUUUAUGGUCUCCAUUCUUUUUCCCCCCAUUUUUUCAGGGUUUGGAAUUUUCUGCUAUAGUUUCCUAAUAUCUAAAAUUUUGGUUGUAUUGCUUAAAGGUAUAUUCUUGUGGCCUGGUAGUAUUUUUCUUACUGCUUCCUUAGUGUAUUCCUUUCUAGUCACACAAAUAAGAAAGUGCUGUGGUAGCCUUUGGUACAUUUUGGGUAAGACAGAACAAGUUGAGUUGUGACACUUCAUAACUGUGCUUUUCACAGGUAUUGGUGGUAAGAAGACACUGUCAAUCAGCUAGCAGAAUCCCAAAUAGCACAGAGUCGAAAUUCCCUCUGCAUCCUGCACUGUGAGUGCAGCAGACAGUUAUUGAUUGAAUGUUCUGUUUGUCCCCACUGUGGCCUGGACUUCUCCAUUACAAGUCACCCUGUCUGAUUUGUGGCAAUAGUGUUUAUAUCAUCUCCCCCUCUGGUCUGUAAGUUCAAUGAGGCACUUGGUCUUUCUUGUUCACCAUUUCAGUAUACACUGAGAUCCAUUACAAAUAUUUUCUCAAUACAUAUUGGCAGUGAAAUAAUAAAUACAGGAAUAUUACCUUUCUGCUAAGUAUGAUAAAUAUAUUUAACUGCAUUUUCUUAGUUCCUUCUUCUGGAGAGAUGUAGAGAUGGUGUAGUGUACGAUCCAUCAAUGUCUACCCCAUUCUCCCCUUCCAUCCAAGUGCCCGGUUUCACCCUUUAUUCUCUAACUCCUCACCCCACAAUAUCCUGCAUCUAUUAAAAACUCCUUUCAAAACCCUGGGAUGGUAAACUUAUUGCUUUUUCUGGAUCUCCCUUUGGUGACCGGUUCUGUAGGUCAUGUUCACAAUCAGAACACCACCACAUAACUACUCAGUUUGAGGCUCUUAUCACUGUUCACCUGUAGUUGUUGUCCCUUAUGCUACCAUUGAUUUUGGAAUUGGGGCACACCUUUGGGGUCAUCUUUCCAUUUGGGGGCCAUUUCUCAAAUUGUUGAUGGAGAAACAGAGGACAGUUGAUGGAGAAACCAGUGAUUUACUGAAACUCAAUGGCAUGCCAUCGGUUAUUUAUUUAUUUAGGCCAUACUGGCAACUGAACCCAGGGCAUCAGGCAUACUAGGCAAGCACACUACUUGAUUCAGCCUAAUUUCACAUAAGUUGACCUCAUUUUACAGAUGAAGGAACAAAGGCUCAGAAAAGCUAACCUUUCUUAAGAUCAUAGAGACAGAGUUAAGAGUGUGCUCCUUCCUGGUCUUUCUUCAUCCAGUUUGUGCAUUUCCUGUACCAUUCUGUCUCCAAUAAGUGGGUUGUUGAGGACAAGGACAUUCAUGCAGAGAGCCUUCUCAAAAUUGACCCACUAGUUGGGACAAAGUUAAGCUUAGAAUUUGUAUCUCUUAAUCACAGUCUUCUUUUUUGUAUUCUUUUUAGCAUUUUUAGAUUUAUUAUUAAAUCACAUGACACAAAAUUAAAGUAUCAGUAAAAAGCAAGAAAAUCAUAAUUCUAUAUAAGACCUGUGUAUAAAAAAUGAUAAAAGCAAAUUGGUUUAUCUGAGGCCCAAAAAAGGAAGGAUGUUGCUUCAACUUCUGUUGUGAUGGGGGGGAGUAAGGGGUUUUUCUGGGGUUUGUCUCACCCACAUAAAGUAUUUUGAACCUGAUUCGACAAAACAAAACUACAUAUUGAGGGCUUCAUAUGUGCUUGGGGAUAUAUCAGCUGUAAAUGAGUGAGUUGUGGAGAUAGUAACAGUUAUAGUUAAUCCUUAUUCCAGCAAAAUGGUCAUGUUCUGAUUAAAGUAAGGUUAGCAGUACUGCAGAGUGUAGGCCAGAGUGUGGAGUGUUAGUGCUCAAGAGGAAUCGAGGGAAAACCAUGCUGGAUGUGUGCAAGUAUCUUUAGGGAGGGCUUCAGGUGGGCUGGGGGUCCUUGGUGAAUGAUGCUUUGCAUUUGCUCAGCUGGGAGCGUUUCCCCAGAAGUGAGGCAAAGGAGCAAUGAAGAAAUGGCUCCUUCCAAAAACUAGGAGGAUAUGGUGUACUUGGAAGAGUACUUGGAAGUAAACCCUGUGCAGCUCCUCUUCUCUGAGCUCCAUUAGUGGCACCAUGAACCCUGAACAUCCUCUGGGACGCCUCAGUCUCCCUUAUCCACUCUGGAAACUCCCAGCCCCAGUUGACCAAUCACCAAGCCUUGCAAAUUUUGCCCUGUGAAGGUUUCUUCUCUUUGUCUUACUCUCACCCUCUUCCCUCUCUCCAGUUUCUGCCUUUCAUCCUCUCCUGUCUGGAUUCCUGAGAUAACCUUCCUAACUGGUCUUCCUGCCUUGACCACUUCAAAUACACCCUUAAAAACCAUAGCUGUUCAUCUAGGUCAUUUCUUCUCACGUCCAGCCCAACAUGCCCCGAUGGUUUCUUUUUGCCUCCUAGAAAACCAGAACCACUCUUCUGUACAUGUACACAGGGACCCCCACCAUCUGGCUACUCCCUCAUUUGUCAGAGUGUCACCUGGCAGAGGCCUUCAGGGCCAGGCUAUUAACUGUUCCACAUAUGAUUCAUGCUGCUUCUCAUUCCCAUACCUUUGCUCAAACUGGCCACUCUACCUGGAAUGCAUUGUCCAUAUUUUCACCUAACUCUAACUCAUUGGCCAAGACUGAAUGUAGGUGUUAUCGCCUUCCCAGUAGAAUUUUCCAGAACCCCCAGAUUGGCAAAACCUUCUCCUUUCUAGCCCUCCAUCUUUAUAUUUGCACUUGCUCCUGGGAUUUUUGUAUUGUUUUCUCUUUGUUGUCUUUUCCAUUAUGUUCUAAGCUCCGCAAAAUUAGAUUCCUGUGUCGUAUUCAUUUUGGUAGCCCCAGCAUUGAUAUUGUCACUCAAUGUGUUAGCCUAUGCUUUGGCUGUAAGACUGGAUGCAUACUAGAGACAAGUAAGGAAUUUCUGAGUUUAAUGUGGAGAGAGAGAGAUUAACUGACGUUAGAUUUAAUCUUUUCUGUUACAUGAAUGUUAUCUAGAAGAGGGUAGAAGCAGAAUGAUCUGUAAUGCAAUGACUUGCAGAAAUCCCUUUUAAUUCUGUAAUUCUUGAUUAAAGGUGGGGGCUAUGUUUUAGUCAUUUAACCCUGCUAAGCAGGACUUAAUGUAGGGCAGCUGGAUUGAAGUGAAUUGCUUUCCCUAUCCCUGCUUAGAAUACAUGCAGAUGAAUGAUAUUGACAGACACACAGUUUUAGAAACAGAUUUCAGAAAGUUGUACUCUUAUAUUUGUGGAACCUAACUUUCUAACAGAUUAGAGAAAGAGACCAGUUGUAAGUUUCCUCAGGCCUUUCUCUCUGUUAUUUUUCCAAGUUAAGGUUGCUUUUGUGCAUGGGCAGGUAGGAAUAUUACCCAGGAAAUUCAAACUGCUAAUGGGAACAUAAUUUUGGCAGAGUUGUACGACAUGAUGUGUGACAGGCCAGCCAUACAUAAUUAUUUUCCCUCUGAGAAUCUCUUAGGGAUCCACCCACUGAGAGGUAGCCUUCUAGCCUAGAAGAUGCCAACUACUUUGUCCUUCUCCUACUAAUCUGAUUUCAAGUGGCCAAGAUAGGUCUGCCUUUCUAUUUCUCUACUACUUGACACUGUUUACUCUUCUCUGCUCUCUAACUGGCAAAGUGAGCAGUCAGGGAGGUCUUCUUUUUCUAAUGGUUCCUUUUUGUUUUUAUUUUUUUAAGCACAGGGCAGUAGCAGUAGCAGUGUGUAGCAUUUUUCAUCCUUUAAAGAUAUGUGCAAUAUAUGCUGGUAUUAGUAAUACCAUUUAAAAAUCAUUUGUACAGCCCCAUGCAGUGGCCCACGCCUGUAAUCCCAGCGGCUCCAGAGGCUAAAAUAGGAGGAUUGAGGGUUCAAAGCCAGCCCCAGCAAAAGCAAGGCACUAAGCAACUCAUUGAGACCCUGUCUCUAAAUAAAAUACAUAAAAGGGCUGGGGAUGUGGCUCAGGAUUUAACCCCUGAGUUCAAUCCCCAGUACCAAAAAAAAAAAAAAAAAUCAUUUGUACUUUGUAUUUAUACUCUAUUGCUUAACCAAUUCAUCAUAAAUAAUGCUAAUUUUAAGGACUAUACAUUGAGAUUAUAGCAUAAUUUUGUAGCAUACAUAGAUUCUCCUUUUCCUUCAGGCAGGUGGGCAAUUUCACACAUACGUGCUGUGAUUUCUUCAUGUUUCUGUCCCCCUUCUUUUCUUCCUACCCCCAUUUCCCCCUACCCAUCAUCAUCAUAACCAAGAGAUGUAGUAUGAAUCGUAAUAGAACAUCCGGCUCACAUGGGCCUCUUCUGUGGCCCUUGGUUAAGUGCCUUUCUCUGGGUGCAUUAUUCAGCCCUUUCUUCUGAUUAUCCUGUUCAUGGCAAGACCUGUCCAGCUACUCCUUGGGUUAGCAAUGCUUGUUAAAAGUACACUGCUCAAUGGCAAGACUCCUCCAAAUAUUUGCCUACCUCUUUUUCGCCACCCAACUCCUGAAUGACCAAUUACACUUGACCAAAGCAGAGAAUUCAGGCAAGACUUAGAAGAGCAAUAUCCUCCCUGAUUAGUCCACGCUCAACCCAGCCUUACAACCUACUUUACAGUCUUUCUACAUAGGGAAGAAGAAAGCUAAACACAGCCCAUUUUGUCUUCUAAAUUUAGAAUAUUUAAAAGUCAGAUUUUGAGACUGAGAUAAUUUUUACCUUUAUACUCUUUUAAUUCGUCAAAUUGUUAUUAGGAGCUAGGAUAUGAUCUCAUUCCUAGAAACAUUACAACAAAACACAGCAAAAUAUGUUUGCAAAAUAGCAUAGAUAAGAGAACCUGUGAAAAUUGAGAAGUAGAACUCAGUGUGUUGAGACAGAAUUCAUAGAUUGAUAAAGUUUAUAGUUAAAAAAAAACAUGGAAAGAAGUGUAUUUCUCCUUCCAGCAACCAAUUUUAUUUUAGGUCCAAUAUAAAUUUUGUCAAAUAUCAUAUAAAUUUCUAACAUUUGCAUGGCACUUUAUAAGUGUUCUUUACAUUGGCUAUUUCAGUUGAUAAUGAAUCAGGAAUUCACACUGAAUGGAGAGAGUUCUCCUUUUAGCACUAUGGUGACCUAGUAGAUUUUUAAAAAUUAUUAAUAUACCUUUUUCUUGUUUUGUUUUUCAGAUUCCAGAGUUCAUCUAAGAGGACAGUCUUAAAAAAAAGAAGAAGAAGAAGAGGAAGAGGAAGAGGAAGAGGAAGAAGAGGUUCAAGAUUUGGAAGGUUUGGAAGCCCUUACUCACUGAUAGCUGCCAGUACCUUGGAUUCCUUUGUGACUCCUCACAUCUAGAAAGUCCUCUCAUGUUUUCUGGAGUGGCAUAGUCCUGUACUGCCUCAGGGAAGAGGCUCUCAGUGGUGUUGGUUUCAUGCCACAGAAAAACCAUGGCAAGUUCCAGAGGUACCUCGCGUUCUCCUCGGGACAUUGCCAAUGUGAUGCAGAGGCUGCAAGGUAAGGGGCAGAAAUCUCAGUAUUGUUUUUUUAAAUACACUUUUAAAUCCAAAUACCAACAUAACUGAGAAUCUAUAUUUGCUUAGAUUUUUAUUUAAUUUUAUGAAUUGAAAGCAAAGCAAAGAAGAGCAAAUGAUAGAGUGGAUAUCUUUUUUCCAUUGUUUGAAACAAGUGCAUGCCUUCUUAAGAUGAGUUUUGUUUAGGUAGAAAGAAAAGAUAAAGAUAUGGAUCUUUGUGAAUUCUGUCUGCAUUAGUGUGAUCCAAGUGGCCCUUCAGUGCCAAUUGUACUAAGGCUCUCCUUCAAUAAAAUUAAUGACAGUGCCUGGUAAGAUGACCUUGGCAAUGCUACACACAGCCAUGUACUGUGGCCAGACAGUGAACGCAUGUAUUUGGCUUUGUUUUGUUUUAACUGGAUGCAGUGGUUCAAGCCUGUAACCCAGCUACUUGGGAGGCUGAGGCAGAAUGAUGGCAUGUUCUAGGUCAGCCUGAGAAACAUAGAGAGACCCUCAUCUCAAAGUAAAAAAUAAAAGUUGGGAAUGUAGUUCACCUGGAUUUAAUCCCCAGUAGCAUCACCAUUACAAAAAAAAAAAAAAAAAAAAAAUAUAUAUAUAUAUAUAUAUAUAUAUAUAUAAUUAACAAAAUGAGGCAAAAGAGGCUCUGAGAGGUGGAAGGACAUGACAGUCAUGAUCAGUGGCAACAGAUGGACUAGUCCUGCAUUUCUCGCUGGUGCUCUUUCUUUAUCAGUGGAUUGUCUUCUAAAAGAGAAUUAAUAGUAAAAUGUUAUGGCUAUUCUUAGGGGAGCUCCCAAUUCUCAGUUUUCUUUACAUGCAUAUAAUCCUUGAACCAUAAAAUAAAUUAUCUCCUGUAGGUAUGUGAAAAUGUUUUGUUUUGUUUUUUGUCAUAAUCCCAAUGCUCCAAUGUAUACUUUCAGGAUACAAAGAUUUCCCAAUUAGGAGGGUUUUACUCUAACCUUUGUCAAGAGAGCUUAAAAAUAAUGUUACAGUUUAACUUUUAAGUUUUCUAGUACUACCAAUGAAUGGCUGCUGUGAUUUUGCACUACAGCUACCACAGCAAGAUGGUGUCAUGAUCCCACUUUCUUUGCUUAUAGUAUAUUUGAUGUCCACAGCAGUAAAUUCCAGUGAAGCACUCCUGACUUACAAAAUACACACUGAGCUCUUAAAUCUGGAUAUUUAUGCCCAGAAUAUGUUCAUAGAUAUAGAAAAUCAGGAUAACCAGUUGAUGGAGUGCUCUGUGGCCAGUGAACCCACCGUAUUCACCUGCCCAGGGGGACUUGUGAUGCCUCAGGGUGAGUGGUAACUUAAGUUUUGAGUUUGUUGUUGAACAAUUCCAUUUGUCAUGCCAAAGAGAGUCUUGUUGAAUUAAAGAACAGGCCCUAAGCAACUUUGUGAGACACUAUCUCAAAAUAAAAAUGAAAAAGGAUGGGAUGUAGCUCAGUGGUAAAGCACCUCUGGAUUCUACUCCUGGUACAAAAAAAAAAAAAACAAAAAACCAGAUCUCUGCUGAAUAUAUAGAUAUAUAUAUAUAUAGGCUGAAAAAUUAUCUGAUUGGCUCUGCCCAGAACCAGGGAGCUCCAAUUUUUAUUGAGCAUCUUGAUUUGGGUAAAUGAGUUUGGAGUUCAUUCUUCUGUCUAUGUUUGGCUUCACUGUGUGCCAGAGGGCAAGUCACUGAACCAUUUCAGUAAUGGCAGCUAUGAACAGAUAGAAAGGAAACCUAUAGGUCUCUUACAAAAGUACAAAAGUAUAGGAAAGAUAAUUUAGGUUAUAAAGCAGAUUUCCCCAAAAGUUUAUUAAAUGUGAAACUUCUGUAGAUGAGAAACACAUUGACAAUAGAGGAAUGUUGUGAAGCGAAAAAUUGAAAUCACUUAGCAUCAGACUUCGGUCCUGCAAUCACUACCCAUCAUUCAGACCUUGGUGUGAAUGGAAGUCUCUUUAUUAAGGCUAUGGUUGGGGUGAGAGGAGAAUGAAGAAUACUGAUGGCUUGAUUUUUUUUUUUAAUAAUGGAUGUAUAAGUGGUUUUUAUUGAGAAAUGUAUGGAGUGGGAGAAAGAGAGUAGUCCCCAUCUCCAUUCCACACUGGGCCCAUGGCAGUGGAUUCCCUGUUUAACACACAUGCAUGUGGGUGCCCCUUUUGCAAAAUAUGAACCGCUCCCACCCAGCUUAGACUCUUUCAGAAUUGUGUUGUGAAUCUUAGGAGAUAAUAUAUUAAAGGCGUUUCACAAACUAUUUGAAUAGCUGUGCUAUGUUGAGCUAUUCCAGUAGUCACAGAAGAACAUUGCAUAAGAAAGCACAGCUUGAUAAGUUAUUGCAAAUCUUUCUUGAAAAUUUUUCUAAUCACCUAGAUUGUGGGAAGAAUGUUAAUGGUCUAAUGUAUUCAGUGAUGUAUGACACUAGUAAUUCUAUUACAUAAUGAGGCGACUAUACUUAUUGUAUUAAUUAUUCUUCCUUUCUACAAAAGUUAUAACAAAUCAGAAGGAUACCUGACAAAGUUAGAAUAACAAGCCUUAAAAUCCUGAAGGAAGAAAAUUCAUGAGCAUCAAUUAUUUACUGUAUAUAGAUUACCGAUGGCCACAAAUGUAAGGUCUGCAUUGCUACAAAAUGCGACACACCUAGUCUGCAUUAGAGGAAGUGAAGUGAAAUGACAGGAAGUGAAAGUGACCUGUUGGGUGUGUCUGUUAACAAAUCCAUCUUCUGGGUUAAUUCUGCUGAUUCAAUGGGCAAGGGGCAUUUUUCCUGCUCUUGAUUCUCUUGUUGUACCCUUAUUGAUGCUUUGCACCCAUACAGGGGCCAGCCCUCCCAGAGAGAAGAGACCUGUCAUUUACCAAGUGUAUUUAUGGGCUUGCUGGAACCUCCAGACAGAUGAACGAGGUUUUAAUAAGUGGAGGGCUGGCAUUAUUGCCCAGAUAAUUAAGACAAAUGAGGAAAUUUAUUUGAGGCAAGAUAAAUUUCUAUAAGCUUAAAUAGAAUCAGACUUGCUUGCCAUUUUCAAAGUUCGAGUCCAUAAGCACAUUUUUCUAGAAUUCCCUUUUCUCUGCUUGCAUAGAUAAUGAGUAACUACUGUUUUUGUUUUUUUCUCCUCUUGGGUUUACUGUCAUUUCAGAACCAUGAAUAACAAAUAAAGAGAAUGUCACUUUAAAUAAUGGCUUUACUAUCUUGCUUAUUUAGUCUAUAACUAUAAUUGUUGAAUAUUUUUCUGUUUUUAAUUUUUAUUCCCAGUGCUAGGGAAUUCAAGCACACACACAGAUUGCUACAUAAUUUAGCUGCUACUGUAGCAGUUCAAUAUUUCACCUUUGCCAAUAUUUGUGCUUGUUUGAGCAUAAUGUUUUAGGCUGGGAUCCUGAAUUAUGGAUGAACAGACAGACUGCAAUGCGGAGUUUCAUUUGGUCUUAAGAAUAAUCAGGGUUUCUGUAACUUUAAUCAAUUUCUAUAUAGGCUUAAAAGAAAAUACAAGAAAAGAGUGUAAUAGGGGCGUAUUAAAUUUUAAAAUGCACAUGAUUAGUAUACAUAUAUUUUUGCUUUUAAAUGCUAACUAAAGAGAUCCGUUUGACAAAUAGUUUAUAGAGUCACUUUAAGGUCACAUCUAAGAAAAUAAAAGUCUCAACUCUUUAGAUUAUUGUUUUUACAAGAAAGUAACGAUAUUAUAAAGACCUUUGUAAUUUUUUCAUAGUGCUUAUGCAUAACAUUUACUUAAAGCAUUUGUUGACUAACUUUAGCAAUGACUUUUUUUCUUUUGAAUGUAUUAAACUUUAUGGAUUUUUAAAUUAAUGCAUCAAUGUUGAGUAUUAUACAGCGGGGUGACAUUGACACAAUCUUAUAGACAAAGUAGAAAAUGCCAGAAAAGAUCCAGAAAACUCUUUAUUUGGUUUCAUCAGUUUCUCUUCCUAUAAGAAUGUUGUGUGAUGGUAUCUGAAAUCCAAAUUGACAAAAAACAAAGGAUCUGCUAAAAUGUCACAUACAAUGGGCUGAUUUUAAAAAGUAGGAUUAUUCUCUGCAAAGUGAAAAUUUGGUCUUUUAAUCUUGUGACUAGAUUUAAAGAAAAACAGAAUAGAGAAGCAUUUUGACCUUUGGAAGCUUAUUUAUGAAAUUUGCUAGCUGUUCAGUACAAAAUCAUCACAUAAAACCAAAAAGCAGCAUCAAACUCCAUUAAUUGUACUUAGGUACAACUCUCUUUUGAGUUUCAUCUCUUUCUCUUCCUAUAAGAAUGUUGUAUGAUGGUAUCUGAAAUCCAAAUUGACACAAAACAAGAAUAAUUUCUUUGUAUUUUAGAACAUCAUAGGUUAAAUAAAUAUUUGAAUAAAUGAGUAAGUCAUGAUCCCCAAACUAAUGAACUAAAGAUAAAAUUAGUCAUGGCAUCUUAAAACAAGAGAACAAACCAUUAAAAUUGGGUCUCUUUGCUCUCUUUUAGAAAAAGUUACCUAAAUUGUGUUUAUUGGGGCUUUCAACAUAAAAUUGUUCUAAGAACACACAUUCUGCCUGAAUGGGUGAUUAUACUGACUUCUCAGAUGUAUGUGCUGUUUUUGUGACUGAAUGCUUUAAAUAAGUUUUCCUUCUUAAGAAUAUAGUUCCAUGUUUAUAUUACUUUUAUAUGUAUCAAAGUGCUCACAUUUCUAGACUUCUGGUCCUUCAAGUCUUUUUCUUUGUAGAGCUAUUUCAUUAUUGUGCUACAUGGAGAAAAUGUCUUGGGCCUUCAGGGUCUUUGAAAACCUUUAGAAUAUUAUAUAUCAAGUGGAAAAAAAUGCUGAAUCAAAAAUAGCAAAGGUUUACAAGUACUAAUAUUAUGUCAAAUGGUCAAAUGUAAAUCAAAAUUGAUCCAAAAAUUAUGUGUGGAUACUCUACAUUGAACUUGAUAUGGAGUGUGGCAGUUGAUAUCGAGUGUCUAAUGCCCAUGAAGAAAAUGGGAAAGCGUCCCCAUACAUCAUAGUGCCUCCACAUUAAAAUUUUUUUAACACACUACUUUAAUCUUGUCACUCAUGACAUUAAACAUAUGUAACAGAAUUAUUGCCCUGACCUCCCAAUUAAAGUCUCAAUUAGCUUCUUGGCUUCCUUAUUCUAACAACUAACAUUUAAGCUCCCUACAUGUUUCAGGCAAAUGACACUAUUUACCAUGCUCUGAGAAUGCUCUGUCUCUGUCUCCUUCUGGGCCACCUUCAGGAAUGAGCUGAAUUUCAUUCUCCUAAAACUGAACUUUAGACUCAAUGGAUCUAAAUUAAAUGCAACCUCCUUGUUGUAAAGGCUUUUACACUAAUAUUAUGACAAUUUCCCUCCUCCCUCUAUACUCCUCUGGCACUUUUCAGCACUCUCACCAGUUACCAAGUACUGAUUCACAUUCUGUCUCAUGUAUGUGUCUGACCCAGGUACCCAGAGUAUAAAACCUUGAGAGCAGGAAGUGGGUCAAAUUCACAAGUGCCCUCCACACUAGCAGGACAGAGUAUUUCAUAAUGUGGAUGUUUCAUGAGCAUUAUAUAAUGAUAUAAUGACAAUAUGUUGAUUUUCAAUAGUGGAAGCUGGGAAAUCAGGGAAGGCUCUUUUUAAUAAGCCAAGAGACAACCAUGGUUUGGAUAUUAAGUAUAUUAAACAGUGGAUGGGCCUCACACAUGAGACAGACAUUCCAUCCAAUAUGGGAGGAAGAAAGAGGAAAGAAGGAAGACCCGGAGGGCAAGAGAACAAUGAGUUCCAAGAGGGAGUGAUCAACUGUGUUUGAUGUUACAAUGUUUACGUGCACCUGUUCCUAUAUGUUUCGUGUAUAAAAUAUCAUAUGUGUGUUUUACAUAUAAAUACUAGGUCUGAGUAGGUGCAAGUGCGUGUACCUAUAAUUUCAAAUUAUUUCUAGAAGACUAAAGAACGGACCUGUGUGAGGCCUGUCAGGAAUUGCAAGGUUCUAGGGAAUGAGUUAGAUAAGAGACAUUCCUUAAAAGAUUAUUAAAUAUAAUUCUGCUCUACUUCAUGCAGAGAUCAAGCAGAAAUGACAGAGAGCAGGAGAUAUGAGACCCAAGGGUGAAAUGUCUCUCCCUUAGGCCCUGCUCAGUCUUAUACCCUUAUGGAAUUGGGGCCCCACCAUGAACCAAGAACAGUUCUCAUGGGAUGGUGCUCCUGUUGAUGCCUUUGUGGACACCUGAGUGUCUGUCACAUCCCGGCUGACUUCCUGCUUUGUUUACCUCCUCCCUCAUAUAUCUCCGCCUGCUCCCCAUGACAUUAUUUUCUAGAUUCUUUCCACAUAUUGAAACUAGUACCGAUCCUGCUUGUGUUUUGGAGAAAGUCUUUGUGGAGUUGGUGGGAAUCGUUUUCUUGGCAUUGAUCAUUGUUCAAUUAGGGCACAGUUGCAUGAAGAGAAAGGACAAAGUGUGGCAUCUUAUGUGUUUUGAUUGUCUGAAAUAUUGUGAGGACACUAGGAGGUCUUCUUCAAGGACUGUUAAUAAGCUCCCAACUGUGCUUUAAGCAAAACUGUACAAGUGAGUCACCAUGCUCGUAGCUAUUUAACCCUGCCUGUGUUGGAUCUGACCUGGGGCCUUGGGUUGGCUUCUGAUGAGGCAUCCACGAACACUAGAGUUUCACUAAUGCAGAUUUUAAGGUAAUAAACACCUAGAAACAAAAAAUUAUUAGACUCUAAGUUUAUAUGAGAAAUUCCUCAUAUAUUUUCAAAGGUUAAACAAAAACAACUCAUGUCUCAGGUUAUUAUUUUUCUCUUUUAUUUUCAUUCCAAUUCAGGAAAAUUUCUUUUCUAUUUUCUUUCAGGUUAGGGCAAAUGAGGAUAUUAUCUAUUCUUUUUGUGUAUACACAACAAAAUAUCUAUCCUGAUCUUUGAAUGACAGUUCAUAGUUUAAGCAAUUAUUAAGGUUAGAUAUUCAGUUGAGGAUGCAUGCAUUUAUCUUAUAUAGUUGCAAAGUUACUUUAUAAGAAUAUAUACAGUAUUACUAUAUGCUGAGGAUAGUCAAAUGGUACUUUGUUUCUUCUCAGGUAAAUGAAUGGUAACAUCUGAAAGAAGGUGACUGCCCCAAACAAAUUCAGCAUUGAAUGACCCAUAGGUGAUUUUGAAUUCUUCGGAGUCUUUGGAUGUAGUGAAAUUUGCUUGAAGUAUUUUGAAAAUGGUUUCUAUGGUAACCUAUGCUCUUUUUUUCAUUGUUUUCAAUGACCUCUCAGAUCAAAAACAAACAAUUCCUUCCUCUACUGAUAUUAAUCUUCUGUGUUUAGUAAACACUUAUGUUCAAAAGAUCAUUUACCUUGAAUUACACAAUUGCCCUUUGUUUGCUUCUGUCUCCUUGUAUGUGUCACCAACAUUGUUCCCAUGGCAUUUAAAUCCCUUUUACUGCUUUUCUUUGAUUAUUAUGUUGACUGGUCAUUAACUUGGGAAGAAUGCUGAGGUCCCCAGGGUUUAUCCUCUUGGGUUGUUGUCGUUAUCUAUGGUGAUACCUGCCAUAUGUUGUUGUAAUAUAUUGUGAACUGCAGUGUGCAGUUUGCUAAGGGUUAUACUAAUUACAUCCUCAUAGCCUACAUUUUCAGCUCCUUUGCUUUCCUGAAAGUUCUCACAGAUUUAACUCAGCUUAUUCAAUUUUGGUUGAGAUGAGCAUUCCUAGUCAAGAGAAAAAUGUGGAAUUCUUAAGAGUUUAUCCCCAAACCUAGAUAGGUUGCACCCUCAGUCAGGUAGCAGGGGAUCUUUCAAAGCACAACUCCGCUGUGCCCCUUUCCCUGCUCCUCUGUCUCAUGGUAACCUUCAAAAUGAACUCAUUGUGGCAGAAGAAUCUUCAUUAUCUGACUCCUGCCAGUCUUCCUAUCUUCAUUCUCUUAGCCCUCCACAGACUCUGGUCUCUCUGAACCACUUCCAGCUCCCUUCAAACUAAUCUGUGAUCUCACUUGGGCCUGUCUCAUUCCUGCCCCCACCCCCACCCCUGCCUUCCUCAAGCUUCAGGGCCCAGCUCAAAUCUUCCCUCCUCUGUGCUGCCUUCCUAAUACACCAGCCGGAGAGAAAGAUUCCCUUAUUGAUGGUCUACUUGAGCAAUAUGUCUGUUAAAGCUUAUAUCAGUCCAUGAGGGCUUCUUUUAUUAUCCAUGUCCAAUUAGAACAUUAGGACCUCAAGGGCAGGGCCUGUAGCUUAUGCAAUUCUACAUAUCCAUUACUGAGCACAAAUCUGACCUUUAGUAAGUGCCUAGUCCACUCAGUUGUACAUUCACACAUUGAACAAAUAUUUACUGGACAUCUGUGCUCAAGUCAUCUGAUAUGAACAUGAUGUACAGAGUUCCUGUCUUCAUAGAACUGUAGUGUCCUGGAUGCAAAGAUAACGAUCAAAGAAUUUUUAAAUUGGGUGAUAGAUAUGAUGGAUAAAUAUAGAUUUGAAGAAUAAGUGAAUGAAUAAAUUAACUUUC